rnacentral:rRNA from 1 species
GACGAACGCUGGCGGCGUGCUUAACACAUGCAAGUCGAACGGAAAGGCCCUGCUUUUGUGGGGUGCUCGAGUGGCGAACGGGUGAGUAACACGUGAGUAACCUGCCCUUGACUUUGGGAUAACUUCAGGAAACUGGGGCUAAUACCGGAUAGGAGCUCCUGCUGCAUGGUGGGGGUUGGAAAGUUUCGGCGGUUGGGGCUGGACUCGCGGCUUAUCAGCUUGUUGGUGGGGUAGUGGCUUACCAAGGCUUUGACGGGUAGCCGGCCUGAGAGGGUGACCGGCGACAUUGGGACUGAGGUACGGCGCAGACGCGAACGGGAGGCAACAGUGGGGAAUAUGGCGCAAUGGGGGGAAGCCUGUUGCAGCAACGCCGCGUGCGGGAUGACGGCCUUCGGGUGGUAAACCGCUGUCGCCUGUGACGAAGCGUGAGUGACGGUAAUGGGUAAAGAAGCACCGGCUAACUACGUG